GUUCCAUCUUGAAAAGAUCCUCCAUCCCUGUGAAGAUCACACCCAUUGUCCAAUCAGAUCUUCGCAAGAGUGGCCUUUAUUGGCGUGAAAGAGGCCAAACUGAGAGCACUGAGUUCUCAUUUUCCCGGUUCUUGACCCCUUACUUAGCUGGUUUUGAUGGGUGGGCUGUGUUUGUUGAUUGUGAUUUUCUUUAUUUGGCGGAUAUUAAGGAGUUGUGUGACUUGAUUGAUGAUAAGUAUGCUAUUAUGUGUGUCCAUCAUGAUUAUACCCCUAAAGAGACCACAAAAAUGGACGGGGCGGUGCAAACCGUGUACCCGAGGAAGAAUUGGUCAUCUAUGGUUUUGUACAAUUGUGGGCAUCCGAAGAACAAGAUACUGACACCUGAGGUUGUGAACACGCAGACAGGUGCAUUUCUUCACAGGUUCCAGUGGCUUGAGGAUGAAGAAAUUGGGUCAAUCCCAUUUGUAUGGAACUUUCUUGAGGGUCACAACAUGGUUGUUGAGAAUGACCCCACGACAUUCCCAAAAGCGAUACAUUAUACUCGUGGGGGGCCAUGGUUUGAAGCUUGGAAGCACUGUGAGUUUGCCGAUCUUUGGUUGAAGGAGAUGGAAGAGUACAAGAAUGAAGCUAACAAGACAGUUGAAAAAUAG
rnacentral:lncRNA from 1 species